UACGUAGGGUGCAAGCGUUUAAUCGGAAUUACUGGGCGUAAAGCGCACGUAGGCGGCUUUCUAAGUCGGGGGUGAAAUCCUGGAGCUCAACUCCAGAACUGCCUUCGAUACUGGAGAGCUUGAGUCCGGGAGAGGUGAGUGGAACUGCGAGUGUAGAGGUGAAAUUCGUAGAUAUUCGCAAGAACACCAGUGGCGAAAGGCG
rnacentral:rRNA from 1 species